rnacentral:rRNA from 1 species
AAACCUUACUAGGGUAGGACUUUAGGAUGAAUUUCUUGUUGCCGACAAUAAGCAACUAAAGGGUGGUGGUGCAUGGUCGAUCUUAGUUGGUGGGGUGACUUGUCUGGUUAAUUCCGAUAACGAACGAGAUCCGUAUAAUUUUGUUGCGUGGUUCAGAAUUUCUGAAUUUCGUUCCUAAAUAGACCAUCAGAAUAAUCUGAAGGAAGUGGCGGGCUAAAU